rnacentral:rRNA from 1 species
GUGAGCGUGCGGGCGAUACGGGCAGACUUGAGUACUGCAGGGGAGACUGGAAUUCCUGGUGUAGCGGUGGAAUGCGCAGAUAUCAGGAGGAACACCGGUGGCGAAGGCGGGUCUCUGGGCAGUAACUGACGCUGAGGAGCGAAAGCGUGGGGAGCGAACAGGAUUAGAUACCCUGGUAGUCCACGCCGUAAACGGUGGGUACUAAGCGUGGGUUUCCUUCCUUGGGAUCCGUGCCGUAGCUAACGCAUUAAGUACCCCGCCUGGGGAGUACGGCCGCAAGGCUAAAACUCAAAGAAAUUGACGGGGGCCCGCACAAGCGGCGGAGCAUGUGGAUUAAUUCGAUGCAACGCGAAGAACCUUACCUGGGUUUGACAUGCACAGGACGCCGGCAGAGAUGUCGGUUCCCUUGUGGCCUGUGUGCAGGUGGUGCAUGGCUGUCGUCAGCUCGUGUCGUGAGAUGUUGGGUUAAGUCCCGCAACGAGCGCAACCCUUGUCUCAUGUUGCCAGCGGGUAAUGCCGGGGACUCGUGAGAGACUGCCGGGGUCAACUCGGAGGAAGGUGGGGAUGACGUCAAGUCAUCAUGCCCCUUAUGUCCAGGGCUUCACACAUGCUACAAUGGCCGGUACAAAGGGCUGCGAUGCCGCGAGGUUAAGCGAAUCCUUUUAAAGCCGGUCUCAGUUCGGAUCGGGGUCUGCAACUCGACCCC